AACGAACGCUGGCGGCAUGCCUAACACAUGCAAGUCGAACGAGACCUUCGGGUCUAGUGGCGCACGGGUGCGUAACGCGUGGGAACGUGCCCUUCGGUUCGGAAUAACUCUCGGAAAGGGGUGGUAAUACCGGAUAAUGUCUUCGGAGCAAAGAUUUAUCGCAUUUGGAUGGGCCCGCGUUGGAUUAGGUAGUUGGUAGGGUAAAAGCCUACCAAGGCGACGAUCCAUAGCUGGUCUGAGAGGAUGAUCAGCCACACUGGGACUGAGACACGGCCCAGACUCCUACGGGAGGCAGCAGUGGGGAAUAUUAGACAAUGGGGGCAAGCCUGAUCCAGCAAUGCCGCGUGAGUGAUGAAGGCCUUAGGGUUGUAAAGCUCUUUUACCCGGGAAGAUAAUGACAGUACCGGGAGAAGAAGCUCCGGCUAACUCCGUG
rnacentral:rRNA from 1 species